UCUUUGAGAGAAAUAGUAACACUAUUAAGUAACAAUCUGUUAAAGAGAGAUUUACAUCUUUGCAUUGCCUUCAAAUAUAUGCAAAUUGUUGGAUACCCCCUUAUCUGUUGUAAGCAUUACUACUAGCAGCUUGGGUAACUUUAAUAAAAUCAAGAUACCUGAUGGUCUGAUCCCGUUGUUCUACCAUAGCUACCUUAUAUAUUUUACAUUCCCGAUUACAGAAUAAUAGACUAUACCAGGGCCAAGGUAUAUUCUACUCCAGCUACAACAUAAUACAGGCUAUACCAGUGCAAAAAAUACUAAAUACAGUCUCUUUCUUGCAGCAAGCCUAAGAGUUCAACUGAAGCUUAGACCAGCUGAGAUAUGAUUAUUCUUACAUAGAUGUUAAUCUUAGAAGAGUGGGACCUUCCAAUCUUCAAUAUAGAGCUUAUUUCAAGUGAUUGGCUGUUCUGAAUUAUGUUAGCUGAGCUCUUGUGCAAAAUGCAAGUGCAAUAAGUUUAGGCUGCACAACCUGUAAUGUACCUGUAGAUGUAGUCAUAUUUUUGGACGUUCAAGCAUAGUUUCCUUGGCUCAGCUGAGAGAAGACUGGACUCACAUUUUUUAUAAAAAUAGUACACGUUAUUUCUUUGACCAAACCAUUGUACACUUUGCUAAAAGCAUAUAUACAUCUUAGUUUUAUGUUGUAAAA